rnacentral:rRNA from 1 species
CCUACGGGCGGCAGCAGUGGGGAAUAUUGCACAAUGGGGGAAACCCUGAUGCAGCGACGCCGCGUGAGCGAUGAAGGAUUUCGGUAUGUAAAGCUCUAUCAGAAGGGAAGAAAAUGAAGGUACCUGACUAAGAAGCCACGGCGAACUACGUGCCAGCAUACGCGGUAAUAAGACGGGGGCAAGCGUUAUCCGGAUUUAGUGGGUGUAAAGGGAGGGUAGAGGGUCCAUCAAGCCAGAGGUGAAAGCCCGGGGCUCAACCCCGGGACUGCAUUUGGAACUGUAAGGGUAGAGUGUCGGAGAGGCAGGCGGAAUUCCUAGUGUAGCGGUGAAAUGCGUAGAUAUUAGGAAGAACACCAGUGGCGAAGGCGGCCUGCUGGACGAUGACUGACGUUGAGGCUCGAAAGCGUGGGGAGCAAACAGGAUUAGAUACACCAGUAGUC